rnacentral:lncRNA from 1 species
AGUUUGAAUCUUGUUCAGCACUCUCGGAUCAAACACUUAGAAAUUGAUUUUCAUUUUGUUUAUGGAGGGUUCAAAAAGAAGACUUAUCAGUUCAGUACUUAUACGCCAAGGGUCAAGUGGCAGAUGUAUCAACCAAGGGACUGCAUGGACCUGAUUUUUUUCGACAGUGCUUUAAUUUUAAACUAGGAUAUCCCACUUAAGAUUGAGGGAGGCUAUUGAAUAAGUAUGUAGGUGACGUGCCAUGGCACAUGUCAAUAGUGCCACCCAUACAAUAGUAGCUUACUCUCUAAGCCGAUGUAAUUCAAAAGUAUAAAUAGUUUUCUCUCCUUGCAUUUUCUGUUAUGUU